rnacentral:rRNA from 1 species
UACGUAGGGGGCAAGCGUUGUCCGGAUUUAUUGGGCGUAAAGAGCGUGUAGGCGGCCAUACAGGUCCGUUGUGAAAACUCGAGGCUUAACCUCGAGACGUCGAUGGAAACCGUAUGGCUAGAGUCCGGAAGAGGAGAGUGGAAUUCCUGGUGUAGCGGUGAAAUGCGCAGAUAUCAGGAAGAACACCCGUGGCGAAGGCGGCUCUCUGGGACGGUACUGACGCUGAGACGCGAAAGCGUGGGGAGCGAACAGGG